UACUAUACUAAAAAGUUAAUAAAAACUAAAAUAUUAUAAGAUAAAAUCUUUAAAUUUGAAGAAUUUGGCGGUAAUUUAGUCUUUUCAGAGGAACCUGUUUUAUAAUCGAUAAACCACGAAGAAUCUUACUUAUUUAUGUAUAAGAUAUUAGUUUGUAUACCGUCAUUAUCAGAUAAUGUUUAGAGAAAUAUUAUUGAAUUUUACAUAGUAAAAAAAAUUAGAUCAAGGUGCAGCCUAUAAAUAAGUUAAAAUGGGUUACAAUUAAUUUUAUUAAUAUGGAAUAGAAUUUGAAAAUAGUUUUAGGAAGGAGGAUUUGAUUGUAAUGGGAAUUAAUAAGAUAAAAAGAUAUAAGCUCUAAAUUAU
rnacentral:rRNA from 1 species